rnacentral:lncRNA from 1 species
GUUUGUCUUGAAUACUUAAUUAGCGCAUAUUCAUGCACCAUCAUCCAAUUACAUUUUCAUACAAGUUACUGUAAGUCAAGUGAUUGCAUUGAUGAUUAUUGUCUUAUGUAGUUCAGCAGUCCAGUAAAAGAUAGCCAACGCCCUCAUGUGAUCAAACGACGAGACAGUAUAGAAGAUUACUAUUGGAAUGAACACUUACCUCUUGGUUUCUUCAUCAAUAACGGCGGAGAUGCCGGCAAUAAUCCUGCUCAACAAGGCGCAGCUCUCUUUGGAAGUGGAUAUGGAAGUACAAGUUCAACACAGGCAUUCGCAAGAUCAGGCAUCCCAGUAAAGCCU